UUGCGGCGGUCGGAGAGUUCGGCGCGAGCGGCACCGGUGGUAGAGGAGAGGAAACGGCUGAGGGGGAGCGCGCUGAGGGGAACCGAACCGAACCGAACCGAACCGAACCGAACCGAACCGGGCGGCUGCGGCAAGUGGCUGUGAGUGCCGGGGCUGAGGGGAACCGAACCGAACUGAGCGGCUGUGAGUGCCGGUGCUGAGGGGAACCGAACCGGCCUGAGGAUCUUUUUCCCUGCCAUGAAUCUGAAGCAGCCCUGAUUCCUGGGCGGAAUGGCCGAGGAGAGAAGGCAGGGAUCGAGUCCCUGCUUUCGCAGGAGCCGAGGAGCUCCGUCCACCUCUGGAAUUCUUCGUCAGAAAAUUCCCGGAAAUUCCCGGAUUCGUUUCCCAGAACGGUUUUAUUUAAAAAGACAAAACUUUAUUUAUUUGUACAGUCACUUUUUGGGGAAAACUCCCCAAAAAAUCUCAUUUUAUCCCAAAUUUUGGUGGUUUUCCAUUUCUGUUCCUUAUCCACGGGGAUGAACCUCGAGGAGUUUCGGUUUUAUCCGGGAGGAAUUUCUCCAUUCCCUCUUUUCAAGUGGUUUUUUGUCCCCUCUCUUCCCGAAAAAAACCCAGGAGAAACCACCUGGAAAUGGAAUUUCCGGCCCUGGAUUCUCCCUCGGUGGAGAAUUUGGUUCAUGGGGGUUUAAUUGGGAUUUUUUGGGGGUUUAAUUAGAAUUUUUGGGGGGUUUAAUUGGAAUGUUUUUUUGAGUUUAAUUGGAAUUUUUGGCGGGUUUAAUAGGAGAUUUAUGGGGUUUAAUUAAGGAUUUUUGGAGUUUAAUUGAAGAUUUUUUUGUGGUUUAUUGGGGAUUUUUUGGAGUU